AUAUUACGUUCGAAAUUGGAAUGACCAAUUCAACAGGGAAUUGCUUAAUUUAUGAGACAAUAAAUAUCAUUGAUGGGAUUCAUUUUUAAGCAUUCUUGACCCCCUUUAAAACUUUUCCGACCAAAUCGAUAUUUGAAAAUGCAAGAUAUAUUUGAAAAGUUUUCGUUUGUUCCAUUCGUAAUGUUACACUCAGACAGUGUGGAAUGUAAUUGAGCUCUUGAAAUAUUUGACCUUUUUUGAAACGAUAGACAAACAAUUAUUCGUAGAAUAAAUCGUUCGAGAUAGCUAUUUAUUGUUGAAAUAUUUUGACCACCUUCAUUUGAUAACAUUUCGCUCUCCUUAAUAUUGUGUUUUAACGACCCCAAAAGCUAUUUGGUAAAUGAAUUCUUGGAACUACUCGAUGCGUUGGUUUCGCCGGAAAUAAUAUUGUGUACACUUCAGCAUUUACGUAGAGUGAAAUUGAAUUUAUGAUGCAAAAUUGUGUUAAAUUGAGAAUUCAAAAUUGCCAUACUUCCGCAUAUCAUUUUCGCAAAAAAGAAAACAACAUUUGUCCAAAAGUAAAUAGCGAACAAGAUUUAGCGUAUGUGAGGGUAUUUUUUUUUCGGGUAAAUAUUGUCCUCUGUGUUAGUGUUCUGUCACCUGCAGCUCUGCUGUGCACGCGGUAAGGAUGUUUUUUUCUCGCCAACAGUUUUUGGGCGAUAUCGUUGGAGAGAAAGCUCUCUCCACAGUCCCGUUUAAGGUUAACCGUAUUAUCCUACCAGUUAUGACGCAAACCAGGGAGCUGUAGGAAUGAAUGACAGAUAGUAAACUCCACCGCACCGUAUUGCGAACAGCUGAAUUGUCAAAGUUGUCCCUCAAGCUACAUCCGUACAGAGUGUGUAUGUGUGUGUUGUGAGAAAAUGGAGCUUUCAGCAACUCCCGGUAUCUGCGCAGACACUCUCGUGAGUUUGUGUGUGAGCUCUCAGCUUGUGUUGUUGUACGGGUUUGUGAUGUGCUGCCACCUAGUGGCCGGUACUGCAACUCUCCUCAUCCUUUCGAGCGCUAUCUCUGUCAUACGUGGAGCUGCCUUUUGCGAAAGCGAUUUUAUUCACCAGCAAAGAUCUUGCCUAUCGUGUCUCUCUCUCUUUCUCCAAAUUUUGAACACCAAUACAAUGGAAACGUAUCCUUCGCCAGUCAAAAAGCAGCAUGUCCGCAACGUGUGCGGCUGUGUGGUGGUAACGUCACGGAAAAACUUUCAAAUCCAACCCCGUGCGUAGAGCAGAAGUAGCAGCAAAAGCCAGUCUCUCAGCGACACAGUCUCGGGGCAGUUGUCAAUAUCGGAACAGGGGGCCUGAAAAGAAAAGCCUUCCCAGUCAGCCGCAAAAAAAAACGCAUACCCUGCCACAAACGGUGAAGUCCGGGCCGUGACAAGUUCUGUACCAUCUCCAUCGAUCAAGUCUGUGCAGUUAAAAUUACGCCCGAUCGCACGUAUCAUUUGCAAUCGCUCAAUCCGACACCAAUGUUUGAUGCUUUGAAAGAAAGCAUUAGGAAAAACAUCUACACGAAGUGUGAUCCCGGUUCUCCCGUUUCCUGCACGCUGUUUCCAGUGGUGAUAACGCAGUGGAAGGAUAUUUUCUGCCUGGUGGUCUUAUCAAUAUCCGGCCCAUUUUCUGUGCGUGUCUGUCUUACAUCGUUUUAAACCGCAAGAUAAAAGAUAUCAAAGUGCUCUCACUGCUGGAAUUACGACUAGCGUGAGAUAGUUGUGCUGCUGCGUGCUGCCGUGUCACUAUUCGAAGUUGAAGUUCAGUGUAGACUAAUUAAACAGUGCGUGUUUGUGCUUUGGUACCAACAGAAAAAGAAACGACCGCGCUGUGGAAGAAGCAAAUCAAAAGUUGCUUCCAAAGUGUAACGUGAAUAAAUCGCAGUGCGGUUGUGAAAGCGUUAAUUAAAUUGUUGCACUGUGAGUGGCCAGUGUUUUGUGUGUAACAGGUUUUCUUUUGCGAUUAGGUGCUACAUUUCGGCAGGUAAAAAGCGUUUGCAAAAUGGCCUGGGGAUACUGGAGCGCAACGGCGGUCGAUCGUGGUCGAUCACCGCGGCGUAACACACAGCUUCCGCAGGCCCAGUAUCAUGCCCAGGGUUACCAGCAGCCAGUACAGCAGCAGCAGCAGCAGCAGCAGUACAGCUUGGCGUCGAGCCAAGCGCAGCAACCGUCGAUGCAUUGCAGUGCCCUUUCGCUCAAUACCUGCCCGCAGGCGGUCGAGCUACCGUCGAUCCAGCAGCAGCAGCAGCUCAUCUGCAGCAACGGUUCACAGCCGCAGCUGCACCAGCAGCAACAGCAACAGCAGCAAAUCUGUUCGAGCCCGUGCCACAGUCCCUGUCACAGUCCGCAGUUUAUCGAGCAGUUGCCACCGGAGCUGCCCUGCACACCCUGUACCUUCUCGCGUAGACAGUCACUUGAUAGUCCACAGGUAGAUCGAUGCCAAUCGCUAGCACUGCUGGGGCGUGCCGAGGCGAACCAGCUUUCGGAUAUCAUCUGUCGGGCGACGCAACCUUCGAUCCAGUCGGCAGGUAACACCUUGACGCGCGGCACAUCGUUACGUGAUACUGGCGACUACGCGGUACCUCAUCCACAUCCGCACACGCACCAUUACAUGUCCACGUCGGCGACACCACCGUCGUUGAGUAGGGUCGGAUCCUGUCCGGGCUCGACCGGUGGUUCCGGUUCGGGCCAUGGGUCCGGCUCGGGUUCCAGCCCAGGCGGUGGCCCCGGGAGUGGUGGUGGAGGUAGUGGAAGUGUUGGUGGUGGUGGCGUCGGCAGUGGGGUGGGGAUUUGCGGUGGAAGCAUACUGGGUGGUAGCCAGGGUCGGUUGGAGUACAUCGAAUGUUCGCACUACGAUCGGAUGCCGUUGCCAAUACCGGUACAGAUACCCAUCGUUCCACCACCGCAACUACAUUCGGAGGAUGAAAUCGAACCGGCGUAUGCUACAGUAUUUCCAAAUGUGCCGUCUGCUCCGGGAUUGUCCUGUGUCGGUGAAGACCGUAGCAUCUACCGAAGAGGAGCAAGAAGAUGGCGUAAGCUGUACCGGAUAAAUGGACACAUCUUCCAAGCGAAGCGAUUCAAUCGAAAAGCCUUCUGCGCCUUUUGCCAUGACCGUAUCUGGGGUCUGGGUCGGCAGGGAUUCAAGUGCAUUCAGUGCAAGCUGCUGGUGCACAAAAAGUGCCACAAGCUUGGCAAUAAACCGUGCAGCAACGAGCAUGUCGAACCAGUCUACAAGGAGCGAGAUCACCAUGAUCCAAACGAUGAAUCCAGUACCGGUGUCGUCAUGCAGGCCUCGUUGGAUUAUCCGUCCGAGCUGCAUUCGAGUGAUGGAUGCGAUCAGGUACCGGUCGAGGUGAACGACAACGUCGAGGAACCGCUGGAACCAGUCACCCAGCGGCAAUACUCGUUGAAUGAUUUCGAAUUGAUCCGAGUCAUUGGUCGCGGCAGCUACGCAAAGGUGUUGAUGGUGGAGUUGAAGAAAACCCGUCGCAUCUACGCGAUGAAGGUAAUCAAGAAGGCGCUCGUUACCGACGACGAAGAUAUCGACUGGGUGCAGACGGAAAAACAUGUCUUCGAGACGGCUUCGAACCAUCCAUUUCUGGUUGGUUUACAUUCGUGCUUCCAGACGCCAUCGCGGCUGUUCUUCGUGAUUGAGUUUGUGCGUGGUGGAGAUCUGAUGUUUCACAUGCAGCGACAGCGCCGCCUACCGGAGGAACAUGCACGGUUCUAUGCGGCCGAAAUUAGUCUUGCGCUAAACUUCCUGCACGAGAAGGGUAUCAUCUAUCGCGAUCUAAAGCUGGACAAUGUGUUGCUUGACCACGAGGGUCACAUCAAGCUGACCGAUUAUGGCAUGUGCAAGGAGGGUAUAAGACCCGGUGACACUACAUCCACGUUCUGCGGUACACCCAACUACAUUGCGCCAGAAAUCUUACGUGGAGAGGACUACGGUUUCUCCGUCGAUUGGUGGGCACUGGGAGUGUUAUUGUACGAAAUGUUGGCAGGACGUAGUCCGUUUGACAUUGCUGGUGCUUCCGAGAAUCCGGAUCAGAACACCGAAGACUACUUGUUCCAGGUGAUUCUGGAGAAGACGAUUCGUAUACCGCGUUCGCUAAGCGUGAAGGCUGCCUCCGUGCUGAAAGGAUUCCUGAACAAAAACCCGGCCGAUCGUUUGGGUUGCAAUCGUGACUCCGCGUUCUUGGACAUAAUGAAUCAUUCGUUCUUCAAGAGCAUUGACUGGGAGAUGCUUGCACAAAAGGAAGUGACGCCACCGUACAUCCCUUCGUUUGAUGGGUGCGAUCAGGAUAUAACCUGUCACUUCGAUCCGCAGUUCACGCGUGAACCGGCCGAGCUGACACCGGACGAUCCUCGCGUCAUCGAUAAAAUCGAUCAAUCGGAGUUCGAAGGAUUCGAGUAUGUGAACCCGUUGCUGAUGUCGCUGGAAGACUGCGUUUGACAUCACGCAUCCUGCGAGCUGCAUCCGUACAACAUGCAGUUUUGAGUGCAGAGAAAGUCAGAAUCUUUUCGGUACAAUAGUGCAGAACGGAAUCUGUUGAAGCGGAACUACGCCCGUACUGUUAGGUUCAGGAACAACGAAUGUAAAUCGAAUGGAAAAUGUAAAGAUUUUGAGCGCAAUAAGUUCGAAAUCAAACAAACUUGUACACGUGAUAUGAACGGCAGACAAAAUCAACAAACAUGACCUCAUUUGUUGUUAUUACAAAAAAAAAAGCACAAAAAAGGGGGCUAUGUUUUUGGUUUGCAAUGUUAAGAACAAAGUUUUAAGUACAAAACACGGUAUUAAAAUUGCUGCUUUCCGUUUGAACUGACUGACAAACAUAACUACUGUACUGCGACUAUACGGUGACGAUUCGAGCGAUUACGAUUCCGUUGUGGAUGAGCUAAGCAUUCUUCAAUUACCUCCACCACCAUCGAAGAGUUUACUGCAGCACAUGUUUUGCCUUCCAUUGAACUAGCCACAAGUUUAGCCGCAGCCAUCUGCAAACUAACCGAGUGAGAACGAAGACCGUACAGCGAUAACAGAAAUGACAUUAAUUGGCCACUGCAACUGCUACCCGUCGACAGCAAGAUCUAAUGCGGCGGCCAACACAUUCCCGGCACUGUGUCCAGAUGUAUUGAUUUGUUCUUAAUAUAAAUAUUGCUUUGUUUUUUUGUUUGUUACGAAAACUGCGAUGAAAGAUUAAAUUGGUUGAUUGAAAUUGAAAACUUUACAGCGCUUUUGUGGGAAAUUUGAUCUUCUCUAUUCUGGUAGAAUUAAAAACGAGAGAGAGAUGGCAGUGAUCAAAAGUUUGCGCAGCUAGUAAGUAGGGUUUUGUACAUGGUACACUAAAACAGGCAGAAUAUAUUACGCAUUAAAACGCAUCAUAUAUACCGGCAAUGCAAUGUAGCUAAGCAAUGAUGGAUAAUCAAACUGCCGCCGGUUCGAUGACGCUUAAAGGAAGUGUGACGCAUCGCUUCCUAGUUUAUUUCUCUCUCUUUUUACAGUCCAUUUCUUUCUUCAACCUAUGUAAAACACAUUCCUGUAAGCAGCAGUUGUUUGCAGCAGAUUUUUGUAAACACAUUUUCAUUUUAUAUUACGUUUGAAAUAUCCUUCUAGAAAACCGGAAAGCAUAGAGGCGAAAAUACGAGCAAACAAUUACCGACAAGUAUGAUGAAGAUCCGUGACAACAGACUAUUUACUUUGCGAGCCGAACGAAAGUGGGACAGUAAGAAGAAAAAAAAACUUUAAUCUAGAAUAUAUGGUACUAGACAUAUUUAACAAGAACUUAUCAUAAAACGUAAAAGAGAGUUUCAAACAACAAAAAAUGAAAAAUCAAACAGGCCCUACAUUAUUGCAUUGAAAAACAAAAACAAAACAAACCGAGUAAAAAAAACUCACACAUCCAAAUGGAAAUAUGUAGAAAUUGCUGAAAAUACUUUUUAGAACACAAGAUAAACGAUUGCAAACAAUUUAAACAUUUUGCCGCUACUAAACAAAAAACGACAAUGGGCGAACGAUGAGCGUUAAGGAAAAAAAUUCCACGCGUAACGUUUUGUGUUUUUUCUUCUUCUUUUCGUUUUUCUUCCACGGGUGCAAAAAUCAGCAUUUGAAAGCAAAAACGUUUUGAGCAUUACUUAUAUAAAGCAAGACUAGUUAAAUAACAAAUCAGAGAAAAAAGCAUGUUACAAAACAAAGAAACAAGUUACACACAAUUUGCACAGUAUCGUUAACAAAAGUAGUAGAAAAGGAUGGUAACCAAAACAAACAAACAGCAGCUGAUCGUUCGGCAAAUGUUGAUGAUAAAUGGGCGUGAUAAGUGAAUGGCAAGCUUAUGCAAAACAACCAAUAGAUUGAAAAAUCAAAACUGAACGAAUGCACACGCUAUUGCCUACUCAAGGGAUAUGUUGGAUAGUGGUGAAGAGACGGGAAGUGUUUAGGUAACAAAUUUAUUAUUAAGAAUUAUUACAAAAAAAAAGGUGAAGCGAACAACAGAAGAUAGAAUUGAUAGGCAGAAAAUUAGCUCGCAGUAAAUUUAUGUUUCAAAGCGAAUUAAAAGGCGCGCCGUUUGAAGGACUAUGGGAAUUUUAAACAAUUUAGAAAGAAACAGUAAGAACGAGUGCGCGCGCCUAUAGCAUAUUGAUUGAAAAGAAGCGGUGGUAACUAAAUUUAAAAAGAAAAGUGGAACGAAUGAAGUAAUGUUUGCAUCGGCGAGCACAGUCCCCCUCCUCAGUACGUAGUUGACAGUUUUGUACAUGAGUUCAGGAAGUACGAUAGCAAACAAUUAUGAAUGAAUACUUAAAUGCAAAACCAAAAUUCGUAGAAACGCACUUGGUAAAAGAAAAACACAAAACAAACAAAAUCACUGAUUAUGGUAAGGUGAACAGAAAAGGAGGGAGAAAAAAAAACAAAUUAAAACAAAAAGAAAAAAAAAGAUGCGUCUUGGAGGAAGUUGCUAAAUUGUUGAGGGAUGUUUCAAGUAAUUUUUGCGCGAAGGUGUUGUGUGUUUGUUUCAUUUUCCUACCAUUUGUGUUACAUUUGUGCGCUUCGCGGAUCGCGAUUAAAUCACUUAAAAUCGGCUAAAAUCGGGAGAGAGAAAACGAAAACAUGAAGUCGUGCGCGAAACUAUUGUUCUUUAAAUGUACCUUAAUGUUCGUAAAAUGAGCCUAUUUAUCGUAAAUUGUUUUAACAAACAAAAAAAUGCAUACAAAAAGAAAAACAAACAAACCAACAUUCACACACACACGGAAAGUUUGCACACAACCAAACUGGGAAUAUUUUGAUAAUUGUUGUUGGUGAUAGUACGAUUUUUGAGUCGAUAUUUUUCUCUGUGUAAGUUCAAUGGUAAAAUGUGUUGCAAAUCGAAUUUUGCAUAUUAAGAGGAUUGAAUGGAACGGAAAAAAGUGGAUCAGAACAGAAAAAAAAACAUUUGCAACCGUCAAAGGAAAAUGGUGAAGCCUUUACUUAGGGAGGAAAAACAAAGAAAAACCACAGAUAAUAGACAUAUUCUAUCAUGAUUGAUUUUUGGGAGCUACAAAGCGUUUAAGGGAAGUUUUACGUUUUAUAACUUACGUUUACUUAUUUUGCAUUUUUUGUUCUACCACGUCCAUGUUGGUACAUAUGUUGUACUUAUGCGUAUAAUGAUCCCCAGAUGUAUUUCUUUUUUUUUUUAUAAGAAUAGAUUUCCAACUGACAUUCUUUCCAUUUCCAUUUCCUAUUCAGCAUUUCAAAGUUUAGUCUUAAAAGUAACUUUAUUAGCAUUAUGUAAAACACACACACAUACACACACACACUGAUCAGUAUGAAUAAUGUUUAGUUUUUUUUGCUUUUGCGCACUUAGGUAAAUAGUUUUUUUUGUUUCAUUUUUAUUUUCCAUUUCUUCGAUCCAUCCGUCACCCUGCCUCUCAGCCUCUCACCCUGAAAGAGAUUGUUUCUUCCUAGUUCGUUCGAAAACAAAAAAAAAAACAAAAAAAUCACAAAAUACAAACAAAUACGAUUAACUUAUAACUGACACUAACCAGUAUCGUAUGGGUCUGACACCUUCAAAACAGAAAACCGGAUCGCUGAAAUUGAAACUAUUUCAAAUAAAAAAUAUUAAAAUCAAA